UCUUUUCCAUAUGGGUGGUAUCAGGUUAAUGCACACCUGUCCCACAGGCUCCACCUUGAAAAUUUACCCACAAUGCAUUUUUCCUCUAAGUCAAAGACAUCAAACUGUGAUAUGUGUCCUCAUACUGAUGCUCACUGCAUCAGCAACAUUGUGAGUUUUGCAGUGGGUGUAAAAGUGUUUGCAGUUUUUCAGCCCUGAAAGUUUUCUGGACUUAUGAAGUAAAGAAAAAUAAUUCAAAAGGGUCAAAUUUGUAGUUUUAACUCAUUUAGGUGGAACACCUUCAUUUAAAAUGUAAAUCUUUGUUUGGCAGACACACUGACCCCGAGGUCAUGUGGCUCACUGGCUUCACAUCAAACCUGCAGAGUCCAACUUAUCAUCAUCGCAGUAUGUGUGAGGACGUGUUGGAGUUGGUGCAUGGCGUACGCCUUCAGUGGACCUCGCCUCUCGCCCUUGCACAGCCGGGAUAGGCUCCAGAAUUUGUGCAUAUGUUCAUGGCCUUAUGUUUAGCUUGUCUGAGGGCUGCAGUUCACACUCCACACCAGCCGGUGGCGGCAACGCACCAUGUCGUUGUUUUCCAUCCACCAAUAUAUUUCGAGCAGCCGGGGUGGUGGCCGCUGAUUGGUCGGCGGAGCGGACUCGAGGCUUCUUAUCGGAUCAGUCUUCAAUAAUCAGUCAUGAUCCGAGCUUCACGUGCGUCUGAGACGUAGACCGGGAACAGGACGGGACGUGGUCGACCAGGUGAGCCGUAGGGUUCCCAGGACCCACUUCCGGUGUUUAUGUGUGUUCUAUUUCUCUGCUCGUGUUGGUGAAUAUUCUGCAGUCGAUUUAAAUGAUGUAAGUCAGGACAUGCGUGACGUCAUUCACAGACUCGGCGCUACAUCAUAAAUAAUCCUUCCGGUCAUUUAGUGUCGUUGUGUAAGUGUCGUGUUUACGCCUCAGUGACCGUGCGUGGAUAUAGAACAGCUGCUGUGCGGCUCCGCUCCGGUCAGCAGUGGCUCACAGGAGCAGUUCACUCCCUCCUCCACCUGUGGUCCACAGUCACUCCGUCCCACACUGCUGUCUGGUGCUGCUAACAAUUUUUCUUUGCUCUCUGCAAACUGUAAUGGAAGCUCCAGCCAGCAGGGGGCAGCAGGUGGUUUUACCUGAAGUCAUUACAGCUGAAGUUCUGUGUCUGUGAAUGAUGCAUGCUGGGAAAACAGACCGAGAGCCGCUGUGACAUCAGCACAGGUGAGCGGGUGGCUGGGAUUCUGGGACGUGCUCAGACUGAGGUGUGUCACAUGACCCUGCUGCUGUAAAGGGUCCACCUCCAUUCACCUGAGAGCAGGAAACGAUGCAGGAGCCGGAGAGUGUGCCCGUCCUCAGUGUUUACGUGAAACUAAUAAAUAUGAUUGUCAAUAAUCAAUGAACCAAUGUUUUUGAUUCGUCUGAAAUCUGACUUCUUUAAAGGGCCAGUUCACCCAAAAAUACUAAACCCCCACCGUCACCUGACGCUCUGCCUGGAAGUGAUGUAAUAAAAGGCCGACUGAAGCCCCUCCCACAGCAGUCUGUUCACAGAGGGGAGGGCCGUGACAAAACCGGACUGAAGCGUAUUCUGAUCCAGGCAGCACGUGGCGUCCACGACUUCCACAGCGUCCACGGCCAGAAUCUAAUCAUCAGUUUGUGUUCCUGCAGGUGGCUCUGCUCUCUGAUUGGAUCCUGAGCUGUGAUGUCAUCGGGGCGCCUCAGCCACAAAGUUUCCUGGCGGCGUCCUGUGUGAGCGCGGUGUCAGGAUGGUCUGUGGCUGUGCCGCAGGAAAGAGGAGUCGUCCUGACCACGCCUCUCUGCGGUCUGUGAGCCCAGCUUUGGAUCAUGUGAUCCAGCUGGAUUAGAGCGAUCCUGUCCACUUAUUAGCUGUGUCCGAAUUCAGGGGAAGGAUGCUCCGAAGGACGGGUAGUCAGGAAGUGAGCGGCUGUAGACAGCCCCCCCUUUUUUUUUUUUUUUUUUUUUUUUUUUUCUUUUUUUUUUUACAUUUUUAAUUCUCAAGGAGCCAGAAAAACCUUAUCGUCGUCGCCCGCAUGUUUUGUACCUUAGGCUCAUCAGAGACAAUCAUAUCCAGUGGUGUGGCAGCCACGAGUGAGCCCUGCAAACCCUGUGGCUGGAGGAUGCAGUGGACAGU